UGUACCUUCAAUUAUCUGCUUAUUUCAUGAGAAAUGAUGGAUGCAAGUGAACAAGAAACAAAUUAUCUCCGCUACGUCAAGGUUGCCCUUGCCAGUGUGAUAAUCCGAAAGAAACCCGCAAAUAGCACAGCAAAGGAAUAUACUGAAACUCUCAUGAAAAUGUUAAAAGAUAAAGAUGUAGAAACAGAUAAAAAGAUCAAAGAUCUCACGACAGAACUCAUUCAUAC